CACAUACUCCCUUCGUUCAGAAUUACUUGUCGCGAAAAUGGAUGUAUCUAGAAAUACGUCUAGAUACAUCCAUUUUCGCGACAAGUAAUUCCGAACGGAGAGAGUACAAC
rnacentral:pre_miRNA from 1 species